CACCAAGGCGACGAUGCAUAGCCGGCCUGAGAGGGCGGACGGCCACACUGGGACUGAGACACGGCCCAGACUCCUACGGGAGGCAGCAGUAGGGAAUUUUCGUCAAUGGGCGCAAGCCUGAACGAGCAAUGCCGCGUGAACGAGGAAGGUCUUCGGAUCGUAAAGUUCUGUUGAAGGGGAAAAAGAGCGGAGAGAGGAAAUGGUCUCCGAUUGAUAUUACCCUUCGAGGAAGUCACGGCUAACUACGUGCCAGCAGCCGCGGUAAUACGUAGGUGGCGAGCGUUAUCCGGAAUGAUUGGGCGUAAAGGGUGCGUAGGCGGCCUGCUAAGUCUGGAGUGAAAGGUACCGGCUCAACCGGUACAGGCUCUGGAAACUGGCGGGCUAGAGAGCAGGAGAGGGCGGUGGAACUCCAUGUGUAGCGGUAAAAUGCGUAGAUAUAUGGAAGAACACCAGUGGCGAAGGCGGCCGCCUGGCCUGUUACUGACGCUGAGGCACGAAAGCGUGGGGAGCAAAUAGGAUUAGAUACCCUAGUAGUCCACGCCGUAAACGAUGAGGACCAAGUGUUGGGGAAGACCCAGUGCUGCAGUUAACGCAGUGAGUCCUCCGCCUGGGGAGUAUGCACGCAAGUGUGAAACUCAAAGGAAUUGACGGGGGCCCGCACAAGCGGUGGAGUAUGUGGUUUAAUUCGAAGCAACGCGAAGAACCUUACCAGGCCUUGACAUAGGGUGCGAAGCUAUGGAGACAUAGUGGAGGUAAACAUCCAUACAGGUGGUGCAUGGUUGUCGUCAGCUCGUGUCGUGAGAUGUUCAGUUAAGUCUGGCAACGAGCGCAACCCUCGUGAUGUGUUACCAAUAUCGAGUUAGGGACUCACAUCAGACUGCCGGUGAGAAACCGGAGGAAGGCGGGGAUGACGUCAAAUCAUCAUGCCCCUUAUGGCCUGGGCUACACACGUACUACAAUGGCGGCGACAGAGGGCAGCGAGCCUGCGAAGGCAAGCGAAUCCCAAAAAAGCCGUCCCAGUUCGGAUUGGAGUCUGCAACCCGACUCCAUGAAGUUGGAAUCGCUAGUAAUCGCGGAUCAGCAUGCCGCGGUGAAUACGUUCUCGGGCCUUGUACACACCGCCCGUCAAACCAUGGGAGUGGGCAAUGCCCGAAGCCGGUGGCGCAACCCUUAAAAGGGAGCGAGCCGUCGAAGGCAGGGCCGAUGACUGGGGUUAAGUCGUAACAAGGUAUCCCUACGGGAACGUGGGGAUGGAUCACCUCCUUUCUA
rnacentral:rRNA from 1 species